CCAGCAGCUGCGGUAAUUCCAGCUCCAAUAGCGUAUAUUAAAGUUGUUGCAGUUAAAAAGCUCGUAGUUGGAUUUCUGGCGUUGGGGCCACUGGCCCGGCAUCCUAGUGGUGCUGUGUUGUCGGCUGGUCUCCGCCAUCUUUUCGGAAAAACCAAUCUGCCCUUCACUGGGUUGGGUUGGCGAUUCCGAUCAUUUACUUUGAAAAAAUUAGAGUGUUCAAAGCAGGCUUAAUGCUGUGAAUACAUUAGCAUGGAAUAAUAAUAUAGGACUUUGGUCUUAUUUUGUUGGUUUCUAGGACUGAAGUAAUGAUUGAUAGGGAUAGUUGGGGGUGCUCGUAUUCAGGGGCCAGAGGUGAAAUUCUAUGAUUCCCUGAAGACGAACUUAUGCGAAAGCAUUCACCAAGGAUGUCUUCUUUAAUCAAGAACGAAAGU
rnacentral:rRNA from 1 species